rnacentral:lncRNA from 1 species
GACCCAAGAUAUCUGACAAUGUCCCUCUUGGCGAUGACCUGAGAUCCAAUCAUCACGUCCCUGCCUACUUCGCUCGGCUCGGCCUAAACUUGCACUCCAGGUAUUCUGUCUUAUAUCUGCUUAUUUUGAAACCCUUAGACUCGAGAGUCUGUCUCCAUACCUCUAACUUCUCAAUAAACCGGCCCUCGUCUCGUCUAUCAAGACUAUAUCUUCAGCAAAUAGCAUACACUAAGUC